GACGAACGCUGGCGGCGUGCUUAACACAUGCAAGUCGAACGGAAAGGUCCUGCUUUUGUGCGGUGCUCGAGUGGCGAACGGGUGAGUAACACGUGAGUAACCUGCCCUUGACAUUGGGAUCACUUCAGGAAACUGGGGCUAAUACCGGAUAGGAGCUCCUGCUGCAUGGUGGGGGUUGGAAAGUUUCGGCGGUUGGGGAUGGACUCGCGGCUUAUCAGCUUGUUGGUGGGGUAGUGGCUUACCAAGGCUUUGACGGGUAGCCGGCCUGCGAGGGUGACCGGCCACAUUGGGACUGGGAUACGGCCCAGACUCCUACGGGAGGCAGCAGUGGGGAAUAUUGCACAAUGGGCGGAAGCCUGAUGCAGCAACGCCGCGUGCGGGAUGACGGCCUUCGGGUUGUAUACCGCUUUCGCCUGUGACGAAGCGUGAGUGACGGUAAUGGGUAAAGAAGCACCGGCUAACUACGUG
rnacentral:rRNA from 1 species